GGUGGGAGGGGGCUUGCCCCCGAUAGCGGUGUAUCAGUUACUAGUGCUGGGACUGACACACUGCUAUCGGGGGCAAGCCCCCUCCCACA
rnacentral:misc_RNA from 1 species